GUUGUUAGGUGAUGUCUCUCUAUCUGUGGUUUACGACGUUGGGACAACGGCACUCUGAAGCAGUAGCAGGACAUGACGCCUCUGUCAGGAGAGGAGAGGAGAGGAGAGGAGAGGAGAGGAGAGGAGACGGGGUGUUCUCUAGGAGAGGAGAGGGGUGUUCUGGAGGACAGGAGAGGAGAAGAGAGGAGAGGAGCCGGGUUGUUCUCUAGGAGAGGAGAGGGGUGUUCUGGAGGACAGGAGAGGAGAGGACAGGAGAGGAGAGGAGAGGAGAGGAGAGGAGAGGAGAGGAGAGGAGAGGAGAGGAGAGGAGAGGAGAGGAGAGGGUUGUUCUCUAGGAGAGGAGAGGGGUGUUCUGGAGGAAAACCAGUGUGUAAUCUGGGGGGCCUGAAGGCAUGCUUCUGUUACCUGAGGCUGAGGUGUCGCAAGGUUUGUGUCUUUGAUCUACAGUGGAGUGGCAGGAAAGUGAGGACCAUGUCAGUUGCUGUUGGUUUGUCAUUGUCCUUUUAGAUUUUUGAAAGUUCUUAGAAUUCAUUCUAGGUUCUAAGAAUUUGUUGCAGAGAAGGGAAGAGGUAGGAUUUAAGGUAGAAUUUUAAGCAUAGUGUUUUCAGUGGAGCCUGGUCUGCAUAGACUCAGUCUAGAAAAGUGGAGUGACUGCCUGCAUGGCCUUCUUCCUAAGACCAGCCUGUGUGUGCCGGUACUUUGACACACAAACACAAACACUACGAGUGGAGACGAGGAGGAUUCUGGGAUGUGGACGAGACAGUGAAUCACAGAAAAGAUAGUGCACUACUUUUGACCAAGGCCCGUGGAGAAUAGGGUGCCAUUUGGGGACGUAACCUUCGUUUCAGGCAGGUACCCACAGGACAGUUCCAGCCCAGCCCUGCGGACCGUCAGUGGGGAUUGACAGACCACAGCUGUCCUCAGUUACAGCAACAGAAGAACGGGGUUAUGGGAAAAAGGAGGGAGAGAAAGAGGUGGAGCUGUCAUUGGGAGUGGGGGUAAGGGAAAAGAGGACGUUUCUGAACUCAGACAUCAUCACAACUCCCAACAGCCGCUUUCUCUACCAUCUCUUCGUUUUAUUGUCUUUCGUCCUCCUUCUCUACCAUCUCUUUCUCCCUACUUUUCCCUCUCUCCUCCUCCUCCUCCUCCUCCCCACUCUCACCCAUCUCUUCUAUUUCCCCCCUCUCUUUCCCUCCUUCCCUCUCUUUCUCUCGUUCUCCCUGUCGUCCUAAAGCAGCACGCCUUGCUGUGGCUGGUCAAACGGAACCAAGUCAGGUGUUUCAGUGAGGUUUGGUCCCCUUCAACCAGCUACUGCGUCGUGAACUCAGUCAGCAGACAGACAGACAGACAGACAGACACCCGCAGCGGGAACGAAAGACAGAGUAGCCCUACUGCUGCAUGUUUUUGUGUCUACAUAAAUCAGGCGUUAAUGUGUUCUGUGUCUACAUAAAUCAGGUGUUAAUGUGUUCUGUGUCUACAUAAAUCAGGUGUUAAUGUGUUCUGUGUCUACAUAAAUCAGGUGUUAAUGUGUUCUGUGUCUACAUAAAUCAGGUGUUAAUGUGUUCUGUGUCUAC
rnacentral:lncRNA from 1 species